rnacentral:lncRNA from 1 species
CGGCCAGACCAUUGCUCUGAGGAUGCGAAACUGAUGUCAGACGGUGAUCAAUCCCAAGGUUUGAGCAAAAGUUUCUAAACUAUUGGUUGUCAAAUUGCCUGCCAUUGUCGGUGAUGAGGACCUUUGGUAUCCCAAACCUACAAAUGAUAGACCUCCAAGUGAAGGCUCUUAGUUUGGGCUCCGAUAUUGUGGCGAGAGGUUCAGCCUCUACCCAUUUUGUGAAGUACUCUACUGCUACAGCAACAAACUUUAAUUGGCCUCUUGCCACAGGAAAGGGGCCGAGGAUGUCAACUCCCCAUUGUUCAAACGGGGCCGAACAGUUAAUGUUGGUGAGAUCUUCGGCUGGUGAGUGGAUAACAUUGCCAAACCUCUGGCACCUAUCACAUCUUUUAACAUAUUCUGAGGCGUCUUUUUUCAUAGUUGGCCAGUAGUAUCCAUAUCGUACGAGUUUAAAGGCCAAGGCCUGGCUCCUUGAUGAUUCCCGCACCGCACACACCUUCAUGAACUUCAGCAAGGGCCUGGGAUGAUUCUGAUGGCCUGAGGCACCUUAGGUAUGGAAGAGUAAUACUUCUGCGAAAGAGGACACUGCUGAUCAUGCAGUACCUAGGAGCUCGGGCUCUGAUACUUCUGGCCAACCUGGCAUAGCUUGGUAGAUUUUCGCUUGUGAUGAAUUCUAUGAUUGGGUCCAUCCAGGAUGGUUCGUUGUCAAUGUCCAUGAUGUCGAGGAUUUGACUGAUGCUGGGUUCUGUGAUGAUUUUAAUGUGAACUGUUCUGUCAAGGCCGUCUAUCCCCAUGAACACAAGCCUGGAUAAUGCGUCGGCUUUUCCGUUGUCCUUUCGAGCAAUUUUUGUAAUUUCACAGCUCUUGAAUUUUCAUUGAAGAUCCUGAACCUUCAUACAGUACAAACUCAUUUUCUCCUCCUUCCUUUCAAAUGAUCCUUCAAUCUGUCCGACCAUUAGUUGUGAAUCGCUGAAUAUCUUUACGAACUCGAGCUCUAGGUAAAGGGCUAGCUCAAGAGCAAUAACGACGGCCUCAUACUCGGCCUCGUUGUUGGUUGCUUCAAACUCGAACCUGAGAGCGCAUUGGAUCUCUGUUU